rnacentral:lncRNA from 1 species
GAACGCCCAAUCUGAGCCAUACGCUAUCGUGGUGACCAUCACAAGUUGGUGCUGUCCUGUAGACCGAAUCCAGCCUGCGCGAAUCCUUUUCCCUUUCGGUCUUAUCCUUCGUUCCUAACCAAAACAAGAGUGCACGCAUCUCCAUGGUCUAAAUAUUAUGGGCAGGAGCUCAAGAGUGAACUUACUUGAUCAUUAAGUUGAAAAGCACGGGCGUGAGUAAUAGGACCAGAAACUGGUACUUAUGUCGGCGUAGAAAUUGGUACUUGUAUCGGCGUGGAUGUAUCAUUGAUGGUGAUGUCCUCAUCACCUAUGCCGGGUACCUUGUUUGAGACUUUAGGAGCAGCUGGCAUCUUGUACUCUGUGGGUGCUGCGGCGCAUACUUUGUGGAGUUCAGUGCUCACUCUCAACCCUUAAAGACUGAGCUAGUUUACCAUCAAUCACAAUAUCUAUAUACGUACAUACCACUCGUUUACGUUAUGGGUGGGGUUCGGUCCGAGACUAGUGGUGGAUUGCGCUCAGCCUGUAGGCAGAUCCGGGUGAUCAGUGCAAGGAGUUUGAGGCAUUAACUUGCUCCGACAAGACUGUGGUUUCACAGCUUCGAGGUCUACAACUGACGGCCGUGUGCCCUACAAUUGAAGACGCUUCCAGACUCAAUGACACAAGAGAGUGCUAGCCACCUACUAGGGCUCCGGUCGUUAGAUGGGGUUUGGAUGACUAGCUACCAUUAAGGCUCCAUCCAGGCGGGUACAGAUGUACAACCUCUACAAAGUGUAUAAUCUGUAACUAUAGUCUGUUUCCACUGGUAUGGAUAGUACUGCUGACUACCGCAACUUCUGACUAGACUUAUACUUCUACCUCCCCCUUUUGUUGAGAUAGGCCAACGUUUGUCGAGGACAUAUGAGGGGAGAGAGCUCUCACAUCGCCUAGUGUGUUUGGGUGCUGGAUUCUUGGGUGAAGGAUCUAGUGGUUUGUGACGACUUUCUUGAUAUGAGGUGUUGACCUCGGAGAUGGUGUUGCUUUGAUGCAUCCUUGAUUGCUGUUGCUGCUACAUAAACCUCUACAAUCAUAUAUAGGUUUAUCAAUGCAUAUAGUAUUAUUCCCUCAUUUCCUUGGCUUGCUGCUAUUGGGAGUUGACAUGGACUACCUGCCUCUCGGGUAGACUUUGGCUUUUCAGGUUCAGCCGACUACGACUUGAAGAUGGAUGAGAAGACUAGGGUGUUGUCCUUGAUGCGCUACACUUCGUGGAUCAUUUUAUAUGUUUGAUUCAGUCCUAUUGGACUUGUACCGACUUAGGCAUUGUUGUUG